CGUGGAUGAUCAGUUUGGGUAUGAUCAGUUUGGGUAUGCUGUACGUGGAUGAUCAGUUUGGGUAUGCUGUACGUGGAUGAUCAGUUUGGGUAUGCUGUACGUGGAUGAUCAGUUUGGGUAUGAUCAGUUUGGGUAUGCUGUACGUGGAUGAUCAGUUUGGGUAUGCUGUACGUGGAUGAUCAGUUUGGGUAUGAUCAGUUUGGGUAUGCUGUACGUGGAUGAUCAGUUUGGGUAUGCUGUACGUGGAUGAUCAGUUUGGGUAUGCUGUACGUGGAUGAUCAGUUUGGGUAUGAUCAGUUUGGGUAUGCUGUACGUGGAUGAUCAGUUUGGGUAUGAUCAGUUUGGGUAUGCUGUAGGUGGAUGAUCAGUUUGGGUAUGCUGUAGGUGGAUGAUCAGUUUGGGUAUGAUCAGUUUGGGUAUGCUGUAGGUGGAUGAUCAGUUUGGGUAUGCUGUAGGUGGAUGAUCAGUUUGGGUAUGAUCAGUUUGGGUAUGCUGUAGGUGGAUGGUCAGUUUGGGUAUGAUCAGUUUGGGUAUGCUGUACGUGGAUGAUCGUACUUAAAGCUACUCAGAUAUAUGCUCUUCUCCUCAGCUGAAGCAAAGCAGAGGUCAAGUCUCAAAUGACCUACACAAUUUUCUUCAUUAUGCAUUUAAUACAAGGCUCCAUUGUUUUGUGUACAUUACACCAUUCCUUUCAUAAUGCAUUUUAUACGAGGCUAUGUAGAAUUUUAUGGGUUGCCAGAUUGGAGAAAAAGUUUUUGUUUUGUUUUUGGUGUCGAUGAAGGUGUUUGAUUGGGGAAUGGAGAUACAUUUUUAUGAUGGGGAAUUUAUAAUGUACACAAACACACUCCCUUUGUUUGUACUCAUGUUAUAGCCAACUCUUGACUUUUUCUAUGAAUUAUUUUUUAUAGAAUGUUUGUAUCUAGUUGUCAUGUAUUCAUUAUCUUUAACUGGUUAAAUGUUUGUAGUUUGUAUGUUUCAGUAAUGAUUAACACGGUUAAAUAGUCGUAAAUCACUGCUUCAUUUAGCUUUUGGUAUGUUUGGCGUUUUAUAAAAGUCUGUAUUUCACUGAAGAAAGCAAUGCAAUAAAUGCUCAGUCUGAACCCAUUCGGCUGUGGGUUUCACAGCC